rnacentral:rRNA from 1 species
GACGAACGCUGGCGGCGUGCUUAACACAUGCAAGUCGAACGGUAAGGCCCUUCGGGGUACACGAGUGGCGAACGGGUGAGUAACACGUGGGUGAUCUGCCCUGCACUCCGGGAUAAGCCUGGGAAACUGGGUCUAAUACCGGAUAGGACUCCUGGCUUCAUGGUUGGGGGUGGAAAGCUUUUGCGGUGUGGGAUGGGCCCGCGGCCUAUCAGCUUGUUGGUGGGGUAAUGGCCGACCAAGGCGACGGUGGGUAGCCGGCCUGAGAGGGUGACCGGUCACACUGGGACUGAGGUACGGCCCAGACUCCUACGGGAUGCAGCAGUGGGGAAUAUUGCACAAUGGGCGCAAGCCUGAUGCAGCGACGCCGCGUGAGGGAUGACGGCCUUCGGGUUGUAAACCUCUUUCAGCUAUGACGAAGCGCAAGUGACGGUAGUAGCAGAAGAAGGACCGGCCAACUACGUGCCAGCAGCCGCCGUAA